GGGACCCACAAAGGGGAAAGCCAGGUGAGAGACAGCUGCAAACACAGAGGAUGCUGAGGAUGAGUGAAAAACAGGUUUUUACUUGCACCUCGCCCCAGCCCCUCCUGGAUCAAAUGGAUGACCAACUCAGACUGCAUAUCUCGAAUUAAGAGAGCAUACUGCUGUACCUGCCUGUUUCUGAAACAGCGUAUUAACCUGGAUGAAGGAGUUCACAUGAACACAAAGUGGUCUCCAUUUACAUUACUGACACCAGCAGCACUGCUGACCGAGGCACUUCCUGAUCCAUCCAAAUCCACGCGAGGAAGAAAAAGACCUUGCACAGAACUGCAGAAAGGGACGUUUACUCCGUACUGCAUUGUUCCUUCUUUUCUAUGCUAGUCUAAAUACAAGUGCUGUUUUCACUGCC